GUGUCAGCAGCCGCGGUAAGACGAACCGUGCAAACGUUGUUCGGAAUCACUGGGCUUAAAGGGCGCGUAGGCGGGCCAUCAAGUCAGGGGUGAAAUCCUCCAGCUCAACUGGAGAACAGCCUUUGAUACUGGUGGUCUCGAGUGAGGUAGGGGCAUGCGGAACUGAUGGUGGAGCGGUGAAAUGUGUUGAUAUCAUCAGGAACUCCGGUGGCGAAAGCGGCGUGCUGGACCUCUACUGACGCUGAGGCGCGAAAGCCAGGGGAGCGAACGGGAUUAGAUACCCCGGUAGUCCUGGCCCUAAACGAUGGGUACUAGGUUGUAGACUUGACAUGGGUUUACAGCCGAAGCAAAAGUGCUAAGUACCCCGCCUGGGGAGUAUGGUCGCAAGGCUGAA
rnacentral:rRNA from 1 species